AACCAUAGAAACCUGCGGAGUACCUGCGGAGGGAUCAUUACAGAGUUCGUGCCCUCACGGGUAGAUCUCCCACCCUUGUGUAUUCUCUACAUCUUGUUGCUUUGGCAGGCCGUUGGUUCGCCAACCACCGGCUCGCGGGCUGGUGCGUGCCUGCCAGAGGACCUCUCAAACUCGGUUUGUCAGUGUCGUCUGAGUACCAUAACAAUCGUUAAAACUUUCAACAACGGAUCUCAGAUCGGA
rnacentral:misc_RNA from 1 species